rnacentral:lncRNA from 1 species
AGUAGGGUCUGGGGGGGGUAAGAUGUACGCAGUCCAUACCUCUACCUCUGAUGAAGUAGAAAGGCUGUUUCCGAUAGACCCCCGGCUCAAGACACAAGAUACCACACAAACACAUAGUAAAGCACAGAAGCAGAUUACAUAUCAUAAAUACGGCACCCAUAAGUAAUAUAAAACAGAGAAAGCAAAGGAAAGCACACAGAUUCGUAAUAAAACAUGGAACACGGAAGACGGAAUCAUAACAGGAAUAAAACCCCCUCCAAGUAAUUCCUUACACUAGCGACCCAAACUGGCCCUAAUCCUCUGCCGAAAUUCGCGCCCUCCAGACCUUCCUAUCUAGGGUCAUGUCCUCGGUGAGCUGUAACUGUUCCAUGUCCCGCCUAAUCACCUCGCCCCAGUACUUCUUCGGCCUACCCCUACCCCGCCUAAAACCAUCCAACGCUAGCCUCUCACACCUACGGACCGGGGCAUCCAUGCCCCUCCUCUUCACGUGUCCGAACCAUCUCAAUCGNNN